ACGGGAGGCAGCAGUGAGGAAUAUUGGUCAAUGGGCGAGAGCCUGAACCAGCCAAGUAGCGUGCAGGAUGACGGCCCUAUGGGUUGUAAACUGCUUUUAACCGGGAAUAAUGUUACCUUCGUGAAGGUAAGUGCAUGUACCGGUUGAAUAAGGAUCGGCUAACUCCGUGCCAGCAGCCGCGGUAAUACGGAGGAUUCGAGCGUUAUCCGGAUUUAUUGGGUUUAAAGGGAGCGUAGGCGGGAAGUCAAGUCAGCUGUGAAAUGUAGACGCUCAACGUCUGCACCGCAGUUGAAACUGGUUUUCUUGAGUGCGUAAGAGGCAGGUGGAAUUUGUCGUGUAGCGGUGAAAUGCUUAGAUAUGACGAAGAACUCCGAUUGCGAAGGCAGCCUGCUGGGCCGCAACUGACGCUGAAGCUCGAAGGUGCGGGUAUCAAACAGGAUUAGAUACCCUGGUA
rnacentral:rRNA from 1 species